GUGCCAGCAGCCGCGGUAAUACGUAGGGGGCAAGCGUUGUCCGGAAUUAUUGGGCGUAAAGAGCGUGUAGGCGGUAUGUUAAGUUGGAUGUAAAAGGCAACGGCUCAACCGUUGUAAGCAUCCAAAACUGAUGUACUUGAGUGCAGGAGAGGAAAGUGGAAUUCCCGGUGUAGCGGUGGAAUGCGUAGAGAUCGGGAGGAACACCAGUGGCGAAGGCGGCUUUCUGGCCUGCUACUGACGCUGAGACGCGAAAGCAUGGGGAGCAAACAGGAUUAGAUACCCUGGUAGUCCAUGCUGUAAACGAUGAGUGCUAGGUGUUAGGGGCUUAGCCCCUUAGUGCCGAAGGCAACCCAUUAAGCACUCCGCCUGGGGAGUACGGCCGCAAGGUUGAA
rnacentral:rRNA from 1 species